rnacentral:lncRNA from 1 species
CACAGGGAACAGAAAUUAUAUGGAUCUAUGGAUCUCAUGUGCAAAGCAGGAAACUCAACAAGUCUGUACAAGAGGUUGGAGCUCAAACUUUUUUCUUUUUCUUUCUGCUGUUCUGAAGGAGCUUAAUUGCUUGUGAGAGUCUAUUUUUCUCCAUUGCUUCCACUCUCCAUUUUGUGUUCUCAAGUCCUAACAUCACCACUGGCAGUUGAACAGAACCAAAAAAAAGGAAACAGAGCAAGUGAAUAUAUACGAAAAAUAUGCCAGGAUGUGACACCAAUAUGGUGGAAGACUGACAGUAAUAGAUCUGGUCCAUUUCUGGGAAUUUCCCUCUCUGUUAUUAAAUGCACUGAGCUGAUUUAUACUGCAGAUUGACGUUUACCACUUAUAACUAACACAACAGGUGCAGAGGGUGCAAAAAGUUCUUGUGAUUUGCUCAAGUAGGCUUCCAGAAAACUAUCAGAGGUCUGAUCAAACAAGGACAACUACAAAUAAUAGAAGUGUCAUCACCACCACAAACACCCCAGAGGAUCCUGUGAAAUGUUCUGUGGGUUUCUGGAGCGCUUUAUAGCUGAGGAGUUCAACAUAUCAGAUGCCAUUAAAGUAUGGUGAUUUAUCUGAAAGCCUUUCCUAUGCAACCCUGAUGCAAACACAGCAAUUCUGUUCCAGAAGAAUCUGCUUAAAGAUUCAAAGUAAGGUUGAAUUUUAUUUAAUACAUGAAGAGAUUUCAGUGAAGUAUUCUGAUAUUUAAUGAUUUCUGCUCAUUCUGUUUU